GAGUUUGAUCUUGGCUCAGAUUGAACGCUGGCGGCAUGCCCUUACACAUGCAAGUCGAACGGCAGCACGGGAGCUUGCUCCUGGUGGGCGAGUGGCGAACGGGUGAGUAAUGCAUCGGAACGUAUCCUGGAGUGGGGGAUAACGUAGCGAAAGUUACGCUAAUACCGCAUAUUCUGUGAGCAGGAAAGCGGGGGACCUUCGGGCCUCGCGCUCUUGGAGCGGCCGAUGUCGGAUUAGCUAGUUGGUGAGGUAAAGGCUCACCAAGGCGACGAUCCGUAGCAGGUCUGAGAGGAUGAUCUGCCACACUGGAACUGAGACACGGUCCAGACUCCUACGGGAGGCAGCAGUGGGGAAUUUUGGACAAUGGGGGCAACCCUGAUCCAGCCAUGCCGCGUGAGUGAAGAAGGCCU
rnacentral:rRNA from 1 species